CUUUUUACAUUGCUAUCAAUUAUCUUUAUCACUUGCGUUUAAUCUUGUGACUAGCAACACGAGGGCUUGACAACCCUCCGUGUUGGGGACAACUUGUUUUUGUGCCUUGUGUGCAGUUGCUGCUUACUUUGUUCAUCAUGUUUUUUCGAAUCUUAGGAUAUCGUUAAGUGUAACGAUAGUCCUAAAACAACUUUGUGAAUAUGACGUUGGUAGAACGAUCAUAUUGAAUAGACCCAAACUUAUUUGUUAGACUUUAAGAUACAAUCGUCACAAGUUAAUUGUUAUAACAUGGAAAGUUAACAUGUGAUUUAGUUCCUUAGACCAAGAGACUAUCAUAGUCACUUUUUACCGUACGAUGAACUUUGGGGUUGCUCAAACGUCAUCUGUAACACCAUGAUUAUAACGACAACUUACAGGUUCAUUGAAAAGUUUGACAAGGGGCUAGAUAGCUCAAGAGUGGGUUUUGCUCCUCCGACGAUGGAGAGAUAUUCUUAGGGCCCUCUCGGUGUGACGGCAUCCAUCAUUGUCUGGCCAGAUACAGGUGACUAGGUCACGAGGAUGCCGGAACAUGUCAACGAGAAAGAAGAACAAAACCGGCAACGAGGAGACUGGUAUAGUGAGUAUGCGUAUGACUCAAGAGGAUACCGAUAUAUCUCACCUUGGAUUUUGUAAAGUGUCACGAAGCUAAGGGAAUAGCACAUGAUAACCAAAUGUUCACUCUAAUGUCAUUCAUGUACUCAUAGGGACCGAUAUGGAUGCCCACGGUUCCGCUAUCGAUUAUUGAACGAAAGGGGUUUUGUUCGUGUCUAUGUUUUACCGAACCUAUAUGGUCACAAGCUUAAGGAAAUCCUGAUUUGCUGAGUACUAGUAGGACAUGAGUAAUGAGAAAAAUUUAUGAAAUUAUUUCAUUAAUGUUCGAAAUAGUUUCGAAAGGAACCGGAAGCGUUUCGGGGUCACUGAAGGGUUUCGGGGUUUACCAGGUAAUACCGAUAAAUAAUAUAUAGGUGAAAAUGUUUCCGAAGAUGUUAAAUUCAUAAUAGUUAGGAGACUUUUAUAUUUAAUGAAAUAUCAACGGGUCUAAAAAGGCCAAGUGAUGGAAAUAAUAUUGGGCCACUUGGGCCCCAUAGGGGAGGCGCCCCCUUGCUUCUUGGAGAAACCAAUGGGAGGCCGAAUUGGAGGGGAACUUCCCCUCCUUGGCCGACCAAAGGGGGAAGGAUUCUUUACCCCCCUGUGGUGCCCCUCCCCUCUCCUCCAACCUAUAUAUACUUGAGGAGUUGGCCCUUUGGAUACACAAGUUUUUGGAGGCUCCUCUAGUUCUCUAGUUCUAGUUCUAGUUGAUCUAAUUAGAGGUAGAUCUAGAUCCUCUAAUCCUCAUAAUUAGAAGCCCAAUGUGGUUCUAAUCUUAUCCCUCUAAUUUCCUGGCGACGAUUAGCUCUGGACGACAAAGCAUUGCCGGAUCGCGAAGACCGUACGCUUGCAAAUUGUGCAGAGGUUGUGCUUUCGGUCUUCUGUUCGAGGGAUUGUUCAUCGACGGUUCGAGGGACUUCAAGUACGACCUACUCCGACUCGUCUUCUUCCCCUGCAACUCAGAGUUGGAAGCCCUAGCAGCAUUCCGCCUAAACGUUUACAAUUAAGGGGUUAGUAGGGAAGUCUACAGUCAACGUCUGAGGAUGUUCGCCAAACUCUCUGACCUAAUGAAAAACUAUUACACCACGGAGGACGCUUGCUUAGCCAAACAAUGGCACUGAGACCCUAGCUCGGAAUUAUCUGAAGUUGAAGGGGAGGUCACGCGCCCCCAUUGCAACCGGUGGCCCAAGCACAACGGCAUCGAUAUUCAAGGUCCACCAUCUCCGCAAGAGGCAUGCAACAAGUACUUUUUUUAUUCUCUGGUAGCCGGAGGGUUACUAGCAUCACCUCCAUUGCAUUACUGCACGCAUCCAUCUGCUCUCGGAUGUCCUCCAGUUGCAGUGAUCGCCAAAUGGGUUUGACAAGCUUACAACGAAGAAAUAGGUGCCCACCGUCCUCAUCCAAUCUCUUGUAGCACACACAGCAGGUGUCACAGUCAACACCCCCGCGUUUCAAAUUCAGCUUCAGGGGUAGACUAUUAUGUGCAAACUGCCAUAUAAAUUGUUGAAUUUUUGGCUGGCAA